GGACCAGUCCUUGUUCUGACUGAAAGUCCAACUGUAGUGAGGACCACAGCCUGCUCUUCAAAUAUGAGGCGAGACUGAUGAUUGGCCAGGGGAAGAUACGCAUGCUGACUGCAUUAGGAUGAAAACUACCAUCCCUACUCUCAUUGGACUUUGACCCCAUCCAUCCAAAGAAAUCUCUGUUGAAAUCACCCACAACCUCCUUGAUGUUCUUCAUCUGGCCAGCCCUGAAAACAAACUGUAGCACCAUGAGACAGAAGAACAGGUUCUGAAAUUAACAACAACAGGAAGGAGAAAGAGAAAGCUACCCUCCUCCUAUUCCCUGAAGGCCAGAACAGCAGGUGUGCCUAUUUUCAGAGG